GCAGUUUGCGGACCCAAGGGCCAGGCGGCGACUGUUUCCUCGGCACAGCACAAAGGCGGCUCGUGAAGAGAGGUGCGGGCAGGUAGCUGAAGUCUGGGGGAGGGCGGUGCUGGCGGCUUCAAGAGUCUCUGCACACGCCCCUCCAACGAACAGCCAAAUGUCUGGAAAAUAAAAGGAUGACCAGUGGAGAAAGAAACGUAACCAAUAAGAGAUAUGUGAGGAGAUUUAUUAUGAUAAACUGCUCACAGAUUAUGGACCCUGAGAAGACCCACAGUCUACCACCUGCAAGUUGGAGACUCAGGAAAGCCAGCGGUGUCAUUCCACUCUGAGUUUGAAAGCCUGAGAAUCAGGGCAGCUGAUGGUAUAAAUCCUAGUCUGAAGACAAGGGAAGACCAAUAUCCAGCUCAGGGAGCAGACAGAAAGCAAAAGGGGGUUCACAGCCAGUCCAGGACAGGCUCCACAUGUCAGGCGUGGACGAAGUUGUGCAGAAGUGUAAUUACGUCGUGGUCAAUGCAGUGUUCGCUUUUGUAAGUCAGCGCAAAACAUGCCACAGACACAUUCUGUGAAUAACGUUCUGUGGCUAAAAUUCCUUGUAAUGAAAACACAAAGUUAUAUGAAAUAGAAUGACACUUGCUACUCCAGUUAACUCCACUCUGUACCUGGGGGUUCUGACUCCAUAUGUGGUUUUGGCGGUGUGUUGCUGUGCUAGAUCCUUCCACAUUCAACAAGUGGCAGACUAUGUAAAAGGUAAGAGUCCCCAGGGCAAAGUCACUGAGCCAUGAUAUCUGUAAUUUAUACUGGGGCAUCUGAAACCUGUAUGAGAAUUUUCAAGAAACCCAUAGGAAUGGGAAUAUCACAUACAAAUUGAGCACAAUGAGAAACUUUUUAAUAGGGUCCAAGGGAGAACAAAAGAGGUAGAUCUCCACAGCCUCGGAAGAGUCAACAGCAGUGGAAAGAAGGCAAGUUUUUCCCAGAGUCCUCAUGUGGAGCACCUGUGCCCUUUCUUUCCAUCUGAUCUCCUAACACAGAGAAGCACAACCUCAGAGAAUACAGCUUGUCCCCCACGGACUUGUUCCUGGCCCCUGAAGUUGUCCUCAUAGGGGGUCCCUGGGCUCCAUCUGCAGCUAUUCUGCCAACCCCCUUCCUACAACCAAGCUCCCCAGGCACAAUCUUGGUCAGGAACAACUUAAGGAAAUUGAGCCUGGAAUUCAGUGUCUGCUUUAGUUCUGAUACUCAGGCUUGUUCCAUCCCUAUUCAUUGGUCUUAGAACUGCCUCCCUGCUGUAUUUCUUCUCCUUGUCUUGGUGAUUUAUCUCUUAAGGGUCCUUCAAGAACUAAAGCUCACCUCGUUACUAUUUUCAGCCUCCAGGCCUCUUUUGGACCUCAGAUGAAGGGCUGGGACUGUCAGUCCCUGACAGUUUCUGGAUUCUUCAGCAUUAUGCCCCAAAGCUGGCAGCCUUCUGGUUGGACUACAGCCAGGUCAGAUACAGACUUCCUUUGCUGUUAGGCUUGGCCUAUACCCCUAUUGCCUGCCUGCCGCCGCCGUAUAGGCAGAAGCAGCUCCCAAAUCUUCCCUUUCCCAUCCAUCCUGCCUUCUUCAGGUUAACUAGGUCAUUUCAGACAGUGUCCCAAGGUAGGAAGGCUUGAGCUCAAGAGGCUAACUUCUUCCUGCUGAGUGCUAACUGCAGCUAGAAGAGUAAUUCCUAUAGCUCUGUAUCAAGAUGCUUCUUCUUUUGUGACUGCCAUGCUCUUCAGGCUUUAUUUAGGACUGUUAAUGUCAUGUACGCUAUUUACUGGUCAAAUUAAGACUAUUAUUAUAGAGUCACUGAAAGUCUUGAUUUUAAAGAUAACUUCAUGUUUUAGGAAAAUAAUCAUGAUUUAAUGUUUGGGGGGCAAGCAGGAUACAGAACUAUGUCAAGCUGUGUGAGCUCAUUGUGGCAGACAUCAUGUGGGAUUUGGGCUGCUCAGUAUCUAAACUCCCUUCCCAGGUUUAAGGAAUUUCCCACCAUGUGAUUCUACAUGUGCAGUGAAGGCCCCCUACCUUUAGAGAAGCAAAGAAUUAAGAGGCCUUUCUGUCACUGCUCCCUGACAGCUGGGGCAGGCAUGUGGCCUUGACUCAAUUAAGCACCCACCCAGACUUGGAAUUGGGGACCAGCGAUUCACAGAAGCAAGGACUAUGGAAACUCCAUCCUAUCAGUGAAGGUGACACAGUUACCAGGGCAGCAGGGCUGUCAGGGCCAGCAGAACCAGCAUUGUAUCUGGCCUCUGGUUCUGUUUCAGUUAUUGUAUUUUGCAUCUCUUCUUGCUUAAGUUUUAUAUUUUGUAUCUCUUUGCUCAGUGUUUCCUGUAAAUUAUCCGUCUUUGCCUCCAGUUUAUUUCUAAUGUCUUGCAUCAUCUUCUGCAUCAACAGUCUAAAGUCUUUUUCCUGGAGGCUGAGAAUCUUCUAAUCACUUAGCUGUUUUUCUGGGAUUUUUUUUCUUUCUCCCUUCUCUGACUUAUAGUUCUCUGUCUUUUCAUUUUUAUAGGUUUUUGGUCUGGUGACUUUUUUUACAGAUAAUAGAGUUGUAGCCUCUCUUAAUUCUGGCAUCCGCCCCCCUUGUGGCUGAAGUUGGUAUAGGGGCUUGCUGUAGGCUUCCUAAUGGGAGGGACUGAUGCCUGUCCGCUGGUAGGUGGUGCUGAUUCCUAUCCCUCUGGUGGGUGGGGCUUUGUCUCUGGGUGAGAUUAGAGGCACUGGAGUGCCUGGGGGGUCUUUAGGCAGCCUGUUUACUGAUGGGCAGGGCUGUGAUCCCACCUGGACUGUUGUUUGGCCUGAGGCUUCUCAGCCUGAUGGGUGGAGCCAGAUUUUCCCAAAAUGGCCACCUCUCGAUGUGGCCUCCUCUUUGUCUUCUGGAGUAGGAUAUCUUGUUGAAAGUUUCCAGUCCAUUUGGUUGAAGGUUGUUCAGCAUUUGGUUGUAAAUUUUGUUGUUUUUAGGAGAGAAGUUGAGCUCCAGUCCUACUAUUCUGCCAUCUUAAUCCCAUCUCCUCUGGUUCUGUUUUUUUAAAACCCUCCUUUGUCAUUUUUACUCUUUUUCAGGACUGGUUCUCUAGGCUUUCCUGUGAAUUUCUGAACUAACAAAUAUCUUUUCAGUAAAUUCCUUUCUUCUUAAAGGAGUAACAGCUUUUUCUGUUCAUUGCAGCUAAGAAUUCUGACAAGUGUACCAAUGCUUUUUAAAAUGCAAAGAGAAAAGACUUGAUGUACACUCAUUGUUAAUGAUGGUUAUCUUUAGGUGUAUAGAAUCACAGAUCAUUUUAGUUUUCUUCUUUUUUCCUGGGAACAUUUCCUAAAAAUUUCAGUAAAGUGGUAUUACCUUAGCAGUCAAGAAAGAGCUAAGUUUUAAAAUUGGAGAUUUCCUUGGAUCUCUGAAGUCCUUAAUUGUUGGAAAACAAUUACCUUGAUUAAUCAAGUGGAAUUUUAUUUUGGCACCUGUGACUUCAGUUUUGGCUUGGGCAAGUCAUAGGUAUUGGGGUAAGAGAAAUGCCAAUAUAUUUUGUGAAAAAAAAAAAAAACCCCGAGACCAGUUCUUACCUCGCAAUCCUGGUCUACUUAUAUUUUUUAUUUGUUUUAGAACUCUAUAGUCCUUUGAUGGGAGGCCUGAGAAUAUUGGACUAUUUUUAGAGAACUUUAACCCAAUUCCAAGCAAUAAGGAGUUUCUUAACACUAAUGUUUAUAAAUGUGUAUAAGCACAGGAACACUGCUCGUAUGAUUCUUUGUUGGUUUCUCCUAAGUAGCUAUCCCAACAGUUUUGUGAAUACUGUAAAUAAUAGUCUAAAAAUACCAGGAUAUUGAACCUACCAGUAAUUCGUGCAGUUGGCUGAGCAGCUACCAGCAAUGGUGUGAGUAACACAGUGGAAACUGUAUAAUGGUGUCCUUCGUUAGAACUAAAUCCCAGCUAUCAAGAGAAAACAAAGAUCACCAUUGAUAGGAAGCAGUGGUCGUCUUGUUUCUAUAAGAGCCUGGGGAGUUUUCAGUAUCCCCGCCUCCCUCUAGGAGAUUGCCUGCUUUUGACCAUGGGUGAGAGAUCAAAGUUACAUGGGAUGAGAGUCUCUUGCCCCUCCAUCAACACUGCUGAGACAGCAGUCAAGGGAACUCUGAAUCUGAUCCAGUUGUGAUCACUGAGUUGCUGCAGCCCUCAGAGUGUGGGGACCCUAUUGAUCAUGCCAAAUGAAGCAUCAAAGCACAGUAAAAUGGAAGAAGCAUAGCAUUUAGUCCAAUGGACUUGGUGUUAGAGCCCAGUCCAAAUAGCCACCAGCUGAUCACAUGAGGCUUUCUGAGCCUCGGUUUCACUACAGAAUGUAGAUAAAAGAAACACCUCAUAGUAUCAAAGGAAAUAGCCCAUGUAAAACUCUGAGUACAGUUUCUGGCUUAUAAUGGGUACUCAGUAAAUGGGACUUCUCUUCCAUCCAUGAGCUCUGCUCCCUUUAUUUUUCUGGGAAAUCCUUUAUCUUUUAGAAAGAGUGACUUCAGAUGCAAUUCUUGCAGAGAUAGUUAUUUUUUCCCAACCUCUCAAAUCUAGUAAAAUGCUAAAAUUACCUUCUAAUUAUUUUCUGGAAAGAGGUGCCUUGCCUGAACCAUGAAAAAUUAUCAAAAAAGGGAAACAUUCGUAGCUCAAUGAAUGAUCUGUGUCAAUAUUGCGUGUGACAAAUAUAUCAUCAUUUAACAUGUAGGAAUCAGCAUUAAAGUGCAGGGAAAAGGUAUUAGAGCAAGCCCAUGAGGUUGAAUAGUGCAACAAAAAAAGAUUGACAUUUGCUUGGUGAGGAUGCCAAGCUUGAGUGAUAAUCAACACUUUCUUCUGCUUGUUGAAUAAGAGGAAUACUCCGUAUUGAGCAAAAUGCCUUCAUAAACUGCUUGGGUGUAGCUAAUUUAUUUGGACAUUAAGAUAUAGUUUUCCCAUAUCCUUCCAAAUAGCAUUUUUGUUGCCAAUAUGUAAAUGGGUCUCCAGUCUCUCAGAAGGUGACACAAGAAAAGAAGUGCAGAAAAGAAGGAAAAUCAAACUAGAAAAGAAAAGAAGCCCUGUCCAAAAAAAUCAAUAAUUUUGCUACUGAGAAAUUGCUACCAUCCUUAUUCAGGAAGGGGUGGAAAGAUCAGACCAAGCUAACUUGUGUGAUAAAUGAGUUUAUAAAGUAGCCUGUACCAGGAGACUAAUUUAAUUGGCUGCUUAAAGUCUGAUAAUAUACCAUGCUACUACAAAUUUUUUCCUUUAUUUUAAUCUUCAAUUUAAGCUGAGUAUAAGGCACACCAUGUCUGCCUAAUGGGACAAGGAACACCAAUUGCUGCUGGGGGCAUACAACCACCUGUGGUAGGAAUUCCCUUUUGGCACAGAAAGUUAAGGAUCCAGCAUUGUCACUGCAGUGGCUUGGGUCACUUCUGUGGUGUGGCUUCGAUUCCUGGCCUGGGAACUUCCAUAUGCCAUGG
rnacentral:lncRNA from 1 species